UUUGACAUCUACCAAUGAUCUUUUCUCAGUUUAAGAUCUUCCUGGCUCUUGGAAUUGAUUUUCAAUUAAAACCUGGACAUUCUGGAAAUUAUAAGGCUCUGCAUCUUAUUAGGAUCUACUUUAGUUAGUUUAACCUGAAACCACUCCAGUAGAAGGCAAGGGUCAUUGCCUUGAUAUUGCUAAAUGGAGGCUGAAGUUCAGGUUCCCACUUAGCUACUGUUGUCACCCAAGGGUGUAUCUUGUUACUGCUGAGUGCAAGUGGAAGUUCCAACUCCCCAGUAAGCCUCCACUGGUCCUUCCCCAGCUCCUAGGAGUGGCAAUGUCUUAUUACUGCCCACUACAUGGCCUUCACUAAUAUAACAGGGAAGGGUGGCGUUUUUACCACUGGGUGGUGAUGAAAGUCCUGACCUACCACUUGGCCUCUGACACCACCCCAGCGGAGAGGGAGGCACCUUGUUACUGCCAGAUGGGCAGUUGGAAGUCCAGGCUCCCUGCAUGGUCUCUGCUAACACAACGGGAAGAACAUCUACCAAAUGAAGGAAUGGACUGUAGUGAAGAGCAAUGAUUUUUACCAAGGUGGGUUAUGGUUCAUCCAGACACUGGACUUAGCUGAGCUCAGCACUCACUACGGAUGAGACUCCCUCCCAGCUUUCAGAGCCUCUCCAAUCAGGAGCAAAAGGCGGGUGAAUGGAGUUUUACAACAGGUGACAAGUCCUGCAGCGAAGGUGUGGGAGGGAACAGAAAGGAACCGAUUCUCUGCCCUGGGGUCGCAGAAGGCGUCUCAGGCACCAAGCGAAUGGAUACUGUGAGCGUGCCCAUUCAGCGGGUGGGCACGAGAGGGGUGGCCGGACCUGGGCAGAACGAGCAGCCUAGGGAAAGUUAGGAGGGGACUCUAGGAGACCCAGACGGGCUUGCUCAGGAGGGCAGAACCCAGACGGCGAAGAGAGCCCCGACGUACUCUCAUCAGCGAGAGGUGGAUUCCCGGCCCUGAGGAAGCGACUUCUGGAAAUCCUGCUCCCUCGUCCGAGGGGUGGGCACGACGCUGCAAGGGCCGCGGGCAGCACUGACCUGCAGGCGGGCCACGCAGCAGAACACGGCUGACGGGUUUCGGAGGUGGAUCCGCUCGGUCAGCAGAUUGCUACCGUAGGCGAAGUACAGAAAACUCUCCCCCUCCUGGCCCCGGAGGUCCUCACAGCCCGAAUUCGCCAUGCUCCACCCAGACACCUGCACCGCAGCGGAGUCGGCGGCAAGACAGUGAGAAGAGGACUGCGAGCGUCCCAACUUCAGUGGCAAACCGGCCGGCGACUCUAGGGUUAGGGGAAACGCGGGAAGCGUGGGCGCGGCGAGUCGGAUGCGACCGCUCUUGCGAUUGGCUGCCGGUCACAAAUGUUGAGUCACCCCAUCUGAUUGGCCAAGCCCAUCACCUCCUCUCAAUUCUCCAGUAAGGAUUCUGAAACACUCAGACCUGAGGCGACCGGGAGCCGACUCCUCAUUGGACAUGAUCCUCUUGUUGUCCCGCCCCGGUGUUCAAGCCUCCCUCUGAUUGGUGAGUGGGCCGGCACUACGCGAAGGUGGGUCAGGUCUGGAGGGUUCGGUUUAGGGGGCCGCUCGGCGAGCGUCCCAGCCUUGUUUUUUCAGCUUCAGGUGGCGCAAGCGUGCUUCCCUGGCUGUGGGUGCAUUUUAGGUAGCUCUGGGCACCCCUGAAGCGAAACAGCUGCCCUGGCCGCGCCCCCGACGGUUCACUCACCUGGCAGCUCACUCCCGUACCGCCCUCCCGGUUUGGAGCAGUCGGUCACUACGGGUCUCUUCCCCCCACAGGCUGGUUCCGGCUUCCCCAGCCCUGAUCAUCUGCGUGGAGAAGCCCCUCCGAAUGUCUGGGAUUCCCUUCCCCAACGGAAGUAGCGAGUCGGGUUCAAAUCCCGAUGAUGCCAUUUACUGGCCACGUACGCUUGGGCAGCUCUCAUCUGUUUCCUCCUUUUAAAAUAGAGAUUUUAAUAUAAAUUAUGAUCACAGUUACAUAACUUAUGAUCCCUUAUCUCACAGGGUUGGUGUAAGUACUUAAAGAAUAGUUUUGUUAAUGUGAUUAGGAGCAAAAACUCCAGUGUAAAAUAAGAUAUAAAAGCCUAAGAACAAUGAAAUAAAACCUUGUAUCCUUAAA